AAUUYCAUCUAAAGCUAAAUACCGGCCAGAGACCGAUAGCGCACAAGUAGAGUGAUCGAAAGAUGAAAAGCACUUUGGAAAGAGAGUUAAACAGUACGUGAAAUUGUUGAAAGGGAAGCGCUUGCGACCAGACUUGCCCGCGGGUGAUCAGCCCCCCUUYGGGGBGGUGCACUCDCCCGCGGUCAGGCCAGCAUCGGUUUCGGCGGCCGGACAAAGUCCCCGGGAAHGUGGCUCCCUCCGGGGAGUGUUAUAGCCCGGGGUGCAAUGCGGCCAGCCGGGACCGAGGACCGCGCUUCGGCUAGGAUGCUGGCGUAAUGGUCGUAAGCGACCCGUCUUGAAACACGGACCAAGGAGUCUAACAUCCAUGCGAGUGUUUGGGUGUCAAACCCMUGCGCGGAAUGAAAGUGAACGGAGGUGGGAACCCCUUCCGGGGCGCACCAUCGACCGAUCCUGAUGUCUUCGGAUGGAUUUGAGUARGAGCAUGGCUGUUGGGACCCGAAAGAUGGUGAACUAUGCCUGAAUAGGGUGAAGCCAGAGGAAACUCUGGUGGAGGCUCGCAGCGGUNCUGACGUGCAAAUCGAUCGUCAAAUUUGGGUAUAGGGGCGAAAGACUAUCAAA
rnacentral:rRNA from 1 species